rnacentral:rRNA from 1 species
ACUUAAAUUGAAGAGUUUGAUCAUGGCUCAGAUUGAACGCUGGCGGCAGGCCUAACACAUGCAAGUCGAGCGGUAGCACAGAGAGCUUGCUCUCGGGUGACGAGCGGCGGACGGGUGAGUAAUGUCUGGGAAACUGCCUGAUGGAGGGGGAUAACUACUGGAAACGGUAGCUAAUACCGCAUAACGUCGCAAGACCAAAGUGGGGGACCUUCGGGCCUCAUGCCAUCAGAUGUGCCCAGAUGGGAUUAGCUAGUAGGUGGGGUAACGGCUCACCUAGGCGACGAUCCCUAGCUGGUCUGAGAGGAUGACCAGCCACACUGGAACUGAGACACGGUCCAGACUCCUACGGGAGGCAGCAGUGGGGAAUAUUGCACAAUGGGCGCAAGCCUGAUGCAGCCAUGCCGCGUGUGUGAAGAAGGCCUUCGGGUUGUAAAGCACUUUCAGCGGGGAGGAAGGCGUUAAGGUUAAUAACCUUCUCGAUUGACGUUACCCGCAGAAGAAGCACCGGCUAACUCCGUGCCAGCAGCCGCGGUAAUACGGAGGGUGCAAGCGUUAAUCGGAAUUACUGGGCGUAAAGCGCACGCAGGCGGUCUGUCAAGUCGGAUGUGAAAUCCCCGGGCUCAACCUGGGAACUGCAUUCGAAACUGGCAGGCUAGAGUCUUGUAGAGGGGGGUAGAAUUCCAGGUGUAGCGGUGAAAUGCGUAGAGAUCUGGAGGAAUACCGGUGGCGAAGGCGGCCCCCUGGACAAAGACUGACGCUCAGGUGCGAAAGCGUGGGGAGCAAACAGGAUUAGAUACCCUGGUAGUCCACGCCGUAAACGAUGUCGAUUUGGAGGUUGUGCCCUUGAGGCGUGGCUUCCGGAGCUAACGCGUUAAAUCGACCGCCUGGGGAGUACGGCCGCAAGGUUAAAACUCAAAUGAAUUGACGGGGGCCCGCACAAGCGGUGGAGCAUGUGGUUUAAUUCGAUGCAACGCGAAGAACCUUACCUGGUCUUGACAUCCACAGAACUUUCCAGAGAUGGAUUGGUGCCUUCGGGAACUGUGAGACAGGUGCUGCAUGGCUGUCGUCAGCUCGUGUUGUGAAAUGUUGGGUUAAGUCCCGCAACGAGCGCAACCCUUAUCCUUUGUUGCCAGCGGUCCGGCCGGGAACUCAAAGGAGACUGCCAGUGAUAAACUGGAGGAAGGUGGGGAUGACGUCAAGUCAUCAUGGCCCUUACGACCAGGGCUACACACGUGCUACAAUGGCAUAUACAAAGAGAAGCGACCUCGCGAGAGCAAGCGGACCUCAUAAAGUAUGUCGUAGUCCGGAUUGGAGUCUGCAACUCGACUCCAUGAAGUCGGAAUCGCUAGUAAUCGUAGAUCAGAAUGCUACGGUGAAUACGUUCCCGGGCCUUGUACACACCGCCCGUCACACCAUGGGAGUGGGUUGCAAAAGAAGUAGGUAGCUUAACCUUCGGGAGGGCGCUUACCACUUUGUGAUUCAUGACUGGGGUGAAGUCGUAACAAGGUAACCGUAGGGGAACCUGCGGUUGGAUCACCUCCUUACCUUAAAGAA